rnacentral:rRNA from 1 species
UACGGAGGGUGCAAGCGUUAUCCGGAUUCACUGGGUUUAAAGGGUGCGUAGGAGGGUAGGUAAGUCAGUGGUGAAAUCUUCGAGCUUAACUCGGAAACUGCCGUUGAUACUAUCUAUCUUGAAUACCGUGGAGGUGAGCGGAAUAUGUCAUGUAGCGGUGAAAUGCUUAGAUAUGACAUAGAACGCCAAUUGCGAAGGCAGCUCGCUACACGAAUAUUGACUCUGAGGCACGAAAGCGUGGGGAUCAAACAGG